CCUGUGUCUGUCUGCUACAGGAUACAUGCGUGACACAUAGGAGAGGAGUUCGUUGAGUGUGAAGGUGUAGGGCUCCUUCCAGAUUUCCGGGAUAAGACCAAGAAAACUACAUGCAGAGGUUAUUUACAUGUACAGGUUGAGGAUCCCUGAAGGUGACAACAGUGUUUCCUGCAUCAUGGGGACAGGCAUGUCCCGGGAUAGCACAAAGGGUUAAUGGGCUCUGCAGAUACAGAAAAGGUCAACGGCACCUGGGGAAUGAUCAACCUUGCUAUGAUUUUUAGGCUGAAUCUUCGUCAAGGGAACAAAGAACUCUCUGCAAUGAACAUAUCACCUGAAACUAAAGGAAGGGACAGUAAGAUGGGACUCGUGUCAAGAGAGGAAAUAGACUACUGCGGACAGACACCAAGGCAGACCCGUGGGCGAAGAAACACUGGGGUGUUGACACAGGACGAGACCUCGGUCCUGGUCUAGGCUGGGCCUCUUUCUACUCAUUCUGCAGAGUUAAUAGUUAAUAAGUAGUGUAGAGCUACACCUUGAUAUUAUCUGUGGUUACUUAGUAAGUGGUGCAUAGUUCUUUCGGUAUAUGGGUCAGUUCUGAGCUACUUGGGUGCGUGUGUUUU